UGAAACCAGAGAGUUCUGAGGACAAUGCCUCC
rnacentral:piRNA from 1 species